GACGAACGCUGGCGGCGUGCUUAACACAUGCAAGUCGAACGGAAAGGCCCUGCUUUUGUGGGGUGCUCGAGUGGCGAACGGGUGAGUAACACGUGAGUAACCUGCCCUUGACUUUGGGAUAACUUCAGGAAACUGGGGCUAAUACCGGAUAGGAGCUCCUGCUGCAUGGUGGGGGUUGGAAAGUUUCGGCGGUUGGGGAUGGACUCGCGGCUUAUCAGCUUGUUGGUGGGGUAGCGGCUUACCAAGGCUUUGACGGGUAGCCGGCCUGAGAGGGUGACCGGCCACAUUGGGACUGAGAUACGGCCCAGACUCCUACGGGAGGCAGCAGUGGGGAAUAUUGCACAAUGGGCGGAAGCCUGAUGCAGCAACGCCGCGUGCGGGAUGACGGCCUUCGGGUUGUAAGCCGCUUUCGCCUGUGACGAAGCGUGAGUGACGGUAAUGGGUAAAGAAGCACCGGCUAACUACGUG
rnacentral:rRNA from 1 species